rnacentral:rRNA from 1 species
UUAAGAAAGUAAAUAAGGGCGUACGGCGAAUGCCUUGGCUCUCAGAGGCGAUGAAGGACGUGACAAGCUGCGAUAAGCUGCGGGUAGGUGCAAAUAACCUUCGAUCCGCAGAUCUCCGAAUGGGGAAACCUUUCCGGUUGAAGGCCGGAAAUCCGUCGAAAACGGAAGCUAACCUGCCGAACUGAAACAUCUUAGUAAGCAGAGGAAAAGAAAACAAUAGUGAUUCCCUAAGUAGUGGCGAGCGAACAGGGAACAGCCCAAACCGGUUUUGUUACGGCAAAGUCGGGGUUGUAGGACUGUAACGUGGACUGUAAUUUUAUAGCAGAAUAUUUCUGGAAAGCUAAACCAUAGAAGGUGAUAGUCCUGUAAGCGAAAUAGAAUUACUACCUAACAGUAUCCUGAGUACCACGGGACCGGAGAAAUCCUGUGGGAAUCUGCCAGCACCAUCUGGUAAGGCUAAAUACUACUGAGAGACCGAUAGUGAACUAGUACCGUGAGGGAAAGGUGAAAAGAACUCCUAACAGGAGAGUGAAAUAGUACCUGAAACCGUGCGCCUACAAGCGGUCGGAGUCCCGUAUAUAUGGGAUGACGGCGUGCCUUUUGCAUAAUGAGCCUACGAGUUACUCCUCUCUAGCAAGGUUAAGUGUGUUAACGCAUGAAGCCGAAGCGAAAGCAAGUCUGAAUAGGGCGAUUUAGUUAGAGGGGGUAGACGCGAAACUUUGUGAUCUACCCAUGACCAGGUUGAAGUUCCGGUAACACGGAAUGGAGGACCGAACUAGUAAACGUUGAAAAGUUUUUAGAUGAGUUGUGGGUAGGGGUGAAAGGCUAAUCAAACUGAGAGAUAGCUCGUACUCCCCGAAAUGUUUUUUGGAACAGCCUCGAGUAUAAGUGUCAUAGAGGUAGAGCUACUGAUUGGACUAGGGGGCUUCACCGCCUACCAAAUCCUGACAAACUCCGAAUGCUAUGACAUGUUCCUCGGGAGUGAGGCGCUGGGUGCUAAGGUCCGGUGCCGAGAGGGAAAGAACCCAGACCAUCAGCUAAGGUCCCCAAAUAUAUGCUAAGUUGAUCAAACGAAGUCUGAUUGCUUUGACAGCUAGGAUGUUGGCUUGGAAGCAGCCAUCCAUUUAAAGAGUGCGUAACAGCUCACUAGUCGAGCGGUCGGGCGUGGAUAAUAAUCGGGCAUAAAGCAUAUUACCGAAGCUAUGGUUCCAAAGCGUUCAGCUUUGGAAGGUAGGGGAGCAUUCCAGUCUGUGUUGAAGGUGUGUCGUAAGGCAUGCUGGAACGGCUGGAAACGAAAAUGUAGGCAUAAGUAACGAUAAGGCAGGCGAGAAACCUGCCCACCGAAAGACUAAGGUUUCCUGAUCAACGCUAAUCGGAUCAGGGUUAGUCGGGACCUAAGAUGAACCCGAAAGGGGUAGUCGAUGGACAACUGGUUAAUAUUCCAGUACUGGCAUGUACUGCGAUGGGGUGACGAAGGAGUGUAUGGCCUGCGUACUGACGGAAUAGUACGUUGAAAGGCGUAGGUAUAUCUCAAAUAGGAAAAUCCGUUUGAGAUGCUGAAGCCUGAUAGUACCGUGAGUCUUCGGACAAGCGGAUAUGGUCUGAAACAAACUUCCAAGAAAAACCUCUAAGCUUCAGGUAUUUGCCACCCGUACCGUAAACCAACACAGGUAGUCGAGGAGAGUAUCCAAAGGUGCUCGAGUGAAUCAUGGCUAAGGAACUAGGCAAAAUAGUCCUGUAACUUCGGGAGAAAGGACCCCCGUGUAAGCGGGGCGCAGAGAAGUGGCCCAGACGACUGUUUAUCAAAAACACAUGGCUUUGCAAAAUCGAAAGAUGAAGUAUAAGGCCUGACACCUGCCCGGUGCUGGAAGGUUAAGAGGAGAGGUUAUUCGUCUUUGACGGAGAAGCUUUGAAUUGAAGCCCCAGUAAACGGCGGCCGUAACUAUAACGGUCCUUAGGUAGCGAAAAUCCUUGUCGGGUAAGCUCCACCCUGCACGAAUCGUCUAACGAUCCCGGUACUGUCUCAGCCAUGAGCUCGGUGAAAUUGUAGUCGCGGUGAAGAUGCCGCGUACCCGCAACGGGACGGUAAGACCCCGUGAACCUUCACUAUAACUUAACAUUGACUUUGACUAAAUGAUGUGUAGGAUAGGUGGGAGACUGUGAAGCGGUACCGCUAGGUGUCGUGGAGUCAACCUUGAAAUACCACCCUUUAUUUAUUUGAAGCCUAAUCCCAUAAGCAAGGGAGACAGUGUUUGGUGGGUAGUUUGACUGGGGUGGUCGCCUCCAAAAGAGUAACGGAGGCUUUCAAAGGUACCCUCAGCACGUUUGGUAACCGUGCGUAGAGUGCAAUGGCAUAAGGGUGCUUGACUGUGAGACCAACAAGUCGAUCAGGUAGGAAACUAGGACAUAGUGAUCCGGUGGUUCCGCAUGGAAGGGCCAUCGCUCAAAGGAUAAAAGGUACUCCGGGGAUAACAGGCUAAUCACUCCCAAGAGCUCACAUCGACGGAGUGGUUUGGCACCUCGAUGUCGGCUCGUCACAUCCUGGGGCUGAAGAAGGUCCCAAGGGUUCGGCUGUUCGCCGAUUAAAGUGGCACGCGAGCUGGGUUCAGAACGUCGCGAGACAGUUCGGUCCCUAUCUGUUGUGGGCGUUGGAAAUUUGAGGGCACCUGACUCUAGUACGAGAGGACCGAGUUGGACAAACCUCUGGUGUAUCUGUUGUAGCGCCAGCUGCACCGCAGAGUAGCUACGUUUGGAUGAGAUAAGUGCUGAAAGCAUCUAAGCACGAAACUUAGCCCAAGAUGAGAUUUCCUUUAAGGGUCGUCGAAGACUACGACGUUGAUAGGCUACAGGUGUAAAGUCAGUAAUGACAAAGCCGAGUAGUACUAAUUACCCGUUAACUUCCUUA